UGUUGCCAUACUACUGAACAUACCUAAUCUCCUCUGAUUUUGUAAGGUAAGAAAGAUUGGGCCUGGUUAAUACUUGGAUGGGAGAACAAGGUGUAUCUAGUAGGCCAUGGCAUUUA
rnacentral:rRNA from 1 species